rnacentral:misc_RNA from 1 species
UGACAGGAAUUUGAGUUUUAAUGAUAUCAAAGAAAUGAAGGCAGAAAUAUUCCAAAAUCUCUCCAGUUUAACAACUCUGUUUUUAAGUGAAAAUAAGCUGAAGGAAAUCAAUGGAGAAACAUUCCAAAAUCUUUCUAAGUUGACAACUCUGUAUUUGGGUGGUAAUGAAAUGAAGGAAAUCAAUGGAGAAUUAUUCCAAUACCUUUCAGGCUUAAAAAUUCUGUAUCUGGAUAACAAUAACAUGACGUAUAUUCAACGUGGUGUCUUUGAAAAUCUUCCGAAUUUAGAGAAAUUAUAUUUGAAUGAAAAUAAUAUCAAGAAAAUUCAAAUAGGAUCCUUCGAUGAUCUGCGCAAUUUAAAAUAUCUAUAUUUGCAGAACAACCAAAUACAAAUCUCUGAGAAUGGCGCGUUCUUAUUCCUUCCCCGUAUUAUUUACAUUGACCUCAGAAAUAAUAAAGAUAUGAUGUGUGGAUGUCAUCUGCCAGCCUUGGUAAAUUAUGCGAAAACAACGUUCAACAGACCUAUGAAGGUCGAGGGCGAGUGUCAGGCAGAUAUUGGCAAUAACCAAACCAAAGUAAUACCUAUAAUGGAAUACUCACAAUGUAAAAAUUACUCGUUAUUUCAACGGAAUUUGCAGUGUCAAACAUGUUCAGGUAUUACGUGCAAGGAAUCGGAAGUGACAAACUGUACAGGCGAUGAGCCUGUAUGCCAAUUUAAAUUAUCAAUGGAUGGCAUUAAACUGAAGUUUGAAAAAUCCUGCAGCACAUUCAGAAAAUGUGAUGAUGCUAUGAAAAACAACACCCUUACAUGCAAUGAAUUGACAAGUGGCUCUACCUGCGUUGCUUGCUGCAUCGGAAACUUAUGUAACAAGAAGGAUUUCAUAGGCUGGAGCAAUUCCUUUGUAUUUCCUCUGAUUUCCAGUUCGACGUUUAAAUUCAAGGAAAAUGAAAGUCUUGCUGAAAACAUAUCCAGAGCUAUGGAGCAUGAAUUAUCAAACUUGACUGGAAAUUUCGAAGUGCAGUAUUGCGGUUCAGCUACGAUGAUAGGGAAGUAUUUACUAUUACUUGCACAGUACCACGUACAAUUACUAAAGACCAAAUAUUUAAACAAAUUUCCGAAAUUUUUAAGACAUCACAGAUUUUGCGUGACUUGGGAUUGCAACAACAGAACAUGGAGUUAUUUGAUGAAAUGGUUUGUAAUGAAAACACUACAGCAACUAGCAAUGGCACUUUCCAUUGGCCAAUGACAAAAGUAGGGACUAAUGUGACGAUCCCAUGCCAUGCAAAUGUAGCAACAAGACACUGGUUCUCAAUAUGUGAAAUCACCAAAAUGUUCACCAUUCACUGGUGUCUGGAAAGAACCAGACAUGUCUCAGUGUUACAAUACAGAGGGGAUCACUCAACAACUAGAAAACAUCACAAGUGAA